AUUAGAGUUUGAUCAUGGCUCAGAUUGAACGCUGGCGGCAUGCCUUACACAUGCAAGUCGAACGGUAACAGGUCUUCGGAUGCUGACGAGUGGCGAACGGGUGAGUAAUACAUCGGAACGUGCCCGAGAGUGGGGGAUAACGAAGCGAAAGCUUUGCUAAUACCGCAUACGAUCUCAGGAUGAAAGCAGGGGACCGCAAGGCCUUGCGCUCACGGAGCGGCCGAUGGCAGAUUAGGUAGUUGGUGGGAUAAAAGCUUACCAAGCCGACGAUCUGUAGCUGGUCUGAGAGGAUGAUCAGCCACACUGGGACUGAGACACGGCCCAGACUCCUACGGGAGGCAGCAGUGGGGAAUUUUGGACAAUGGGGGAAACCCUGAUCCAGCCAUGCCGCGUGCAGGAUGAAGGCCUUCGGGUUGUAAACUGCUUUUGUACGGAACGAAAAGGUUCUCUCUAAUACAGAGGGCUCAUGACGGUACCGUAAGAAUAAGCACCGGCUAACUACGUGCCAGCAGCCGCGGUAAUAAU
rnacentral:rRNA from 1 species